CAAUCGAACCCGGAGAUAGCUGGUUCUCCUCGAAAUAGCUUUAGGGCUAGCCUCGCAUUAGUUUACCGGAGGUAGAGCACUGAAUGGUCUAGGGGGCCUCACCGCCUACCGAAACCUAUCAAACUGCGAAUGCCGGAUAAAUGAUGUGCGGGAGUCAGGCCGCGAGAGAUAAGUUCCGCGGUCAAAAGGGGAACACCCCAGAUCGUCUGCUAAGGUCCCCAAGUACGCGUUAAGUGGGAAAGGAUGUUGGAUUGCACAGACAACCAGGAUGUUGGCUUAGAAGCAGCCACACAUUCAAAGAGUGCGUAAUAGCUCACUGGUCGAGUGAUCCAGCGCCGAAAAUGUAACGGGGCUAAAACGCGACACCGAAGCAGCGGGAUGCGUAAGCAUCGGUAGAGGAGCAUUGUGUGAGGGUUGAAGCCAGAGCGGGAGCACUGGUGGACUUCACAGAAGAGAGAAUGCCGGUAUGAGUAGCGAGACCCAUGCGAGAAACAUGGGCGUCGAAGGCCCAAGGUUUCCUGGGGAAGGUUCAUCCACCCAGGGUAAGUCGGGACCUAAGCCGAGGACUGAGGUCGUAGGCGAUGGACAGCAGGUAGAGAUUCCUGCACCACUUAUACUUGUUUGACGAAGCAGUGACACAGAAGGAUAGGACGAGCGCGGUGAUGGUCAACCGCGUAGGCGGCACGAGGCCGGGAAGCAGUGAAGUACACUUCCCGCAAAGGCUGAGUGUUGACAGGACCGAAAAGAAGUAGGGAAGCGUCCGAGUUCACGCUGGCGAGAAAAGCUGCUAAGGAGAGUGUGAGUGCCCGUACCGGAAACCGACGCAGGUGGGCGAGGAGAGAAUCCUGAGACGGACGGGAGAACUCUUGUUAAGGAACUCGGCAAAAUGACCCCGUAACUUCGGGAGAAGGGGUGCCUCGAAAGAGGCCGCAGAGAAUAGUCACAAGCGACUGUUUAGCAAAAACACAGGUAUCUGCGAAAGCGAGAGCUGACGUAUAGGUGCUGACGCCUGCCCGGUGCUGGAAGGUUAAGGGGAAGUGUUAGGGGAAACCCGAAGCAGAGAACCGAAGCCCCAGUAAACGGCGGCCGUAACUAUAACGGUCCUAAGGUAGCGAAAUUCCUUGUCGGGUAAGUUCCGACCCGCACGAAUGGCGUAACGACUUGUGAGCUGUCUCAACAGGAGGCCCGGUGAAAUUGAAGUAUGUGUGAAGAUGCACAUUACCCGCGACUGGACGGAAAGACCCCGUAGAGCUUUACUGUAACCUGACAUUGGAUCUUGAUAACGGAUGCACAGGAUAGGUGGGACGCUGGGAGACGAGGACUUUGGUUUUCGUGGAGCGGCCGUUGGGAUACCACUCUUCUGUUAUUGAGAUUCUAACCUCAAGCCGUGAGCCGGAUGAGAGACAGUGUCAGGCGGACAGUUUGACUGGGGCGGUCGCCUCCGAAAGAGUAACGGAGGCGCCCAAAGGUACCCUCAGAAUGGAUGGAAACCAUUCGAAGAGAGCAAAGUCAGAAGGGUGCUUGACUGCGAGACCAACAAGUCGAGCAGGUACGAAAGUAGGGCUUAGUGAUCCGGCGGUAAGAGAGUGGAAUUGCCGUCGCUCAACGGAUAAAAGCUACCUCGGGGAUAACAGGCUGAUCUCCCCCAAGAGUUCACAUCGACGGGGAGGUUUGGCAC
rnacentral:rRNA from 1 species